rnacentral:rRNA from 1 species
AGCUCCAAUAGCGUAUAUUAAAGUUGUUGUGGUUAAAAAGCUCGUAGUUGGAUCUCAACAGACUUGGAUCGGUUUACUUUGUGUAAUACUGAUCCAAAGCUGUGCUUUUGUCAGAGGUUUAGCGGUGCUCUUAACCGAGUGUCGCUGAGUGCUGACAGGUUUACUUUGAAAAAAUUAGGGUGCUUAAGGCGGGCUGUUAUGCUCGAAUAUUUGUGCAUGGAAUAAUAGAAUAGGAUGUUGAUCUUAUUUUGUUGGUUUUCGAGACUUGACAUAAUGAUUAAUAGGGACAGUCGGGGGCAUUUGUAUUCAAACGACAGAGGUGAAAUUCUUGGACCGUUUGAAGACAAACUACUGCGAAAGCAUUUGCCAAGAAUGUUU